rnacentral:lncRNA from 1 species
CCACUAAUUCGAUCUUCGAAAGGUCUCAGAGCUCCAAGUAACUCAGUAAGCUCGGUUUUCUUCUAUUCUCUUGGAUACUUGCUUACACAUUCCUUUUUUUUGUGUUAAAUUUGUUGUUUUGUUGUGUUAUAUGGAUCGAUGAGAGUCACAGACUUUGAAUUGAAAAAUGAAAAUUAGUUUUUUUUUCUGUGCUACAAAAAUGGGCGGAGACUGCAAGCAAGAGGGAAUGAAGCGACUCGAGUCACGAAGAGUCCUGUGACUUGCGAGAGGUGACAUGUAACUAUGAGAAAUUGAAAUAUUUGAUUAUCGAGUAAAUAACAUUGAGUUCCCUAUAUUUUUAUUUUUAGUAAAUAACGAUACAUUAGUUUCAGUUUAUUUCAAAUAGGUUCCUCAUCCUUUGCCAGUGACCAAGUUGUGCAACCCUAACAUCCACAGCACCUCUUUUCGCUUCAAUCAUGACCGGAGCAUCAGAGCUUGAGUCUAUCCUUUUAUGUUCAUCUCCGUCUUGUUCUUCAUCCAUUUUUGCAUCUUCUACAUGAAUGGCUUCUGGUUCUUUGGUUUGAUUUUCUUCUGUGCUGCCUUUUGGUUCUCUCCCUUCGCCGACUUGUUCAGCCACUUUCGUAGUUUCAAUUCUGGAGCUCUGAAGGGGGCCAGUCAAUGAAGCUGUAGCUGAGUCCAUCAAUGCUGAUUCCUCAGUUUUUAUUUCCCCUGAUUCUUGUGGUUGUUGCUCUCCUUCGAGGUUAAUCUUUGCUUUUUGUGGAGUUUCUGUGGUUCCUUAUUGCUCAAAAAUUUUUGGCGCAAACUCAUCUCCAGUUUGAACUGGUGUGUAUGGGCGCUCAAUGAGAUCUGCUUCAGUUGUUGCAUAAGAGCUUUUCUCUAACUCACUAGUUUCUUGAAUGAUUUUGCUGUCUGUUGCAAACCCCCUUAUGCUUUCUUUUUGUGACAUCGCCAUACUCGAUUCUUGAUAAAAUUAAAAGUAAAGCUGCUCAAAUUGUGAAAAAUAAAAGAAAAACCGAAAUGUCUAAUUAAUAUCUGCAAGCAAAAUGGCUUUCAUAAUUUAGCUGCAUUCUUGUCCUACUAAGUUAUGUUU